UACAGAGGGGGCAAGCGUUGUUCGGAAUUACUGGGCGUAAAGGGCGCGUAGGCGGCCCGCUAAGUCGAACGUGAAAUCCCCAGGCUCAACCUGGGAACUGCGUCCGAUACUGGCAGGCUUGAAUCCGGGAGAGGGAUGUGGAAUUCCAGGUGUAGCGGUGAAAUGCGUAGAGAUCCGGAAGAACACCGGUGGCGAAGGCGGUCGACUGGGCCAGUACUGACGCUGAGGCGCGACAGCGUGGGGAGCAAACAGG
rnacentral:rRNA from 1 species